rnacentral:rRNA from 1 species
UGCCAGCCGCCGCGGUAAUACGGGGGGAGCAAGCGUUGUUCGGAAUCACUGGGCGUAAAGGGCGUGUAGGCGGUUCUGCAAGUCAGAAGUGAAAACCACCGGCUUAACCGGGUGGCCUGCUUUUGAAACUGCAAGACUUGAGUACGGAAGAGGAGAGCGGAAUUCCUGGUGUAGCGGUGAAAUGCGUAGAUAUCAGGAAGAACACCGGUGGCGAAGGCGGCUCUCUGGUCCAGUACUGACGCUGAGGCGCGAAAGCUAGGGGAGCGAACGGGAUUAGAUA